rnacentral:rRNA from 1 species
UACGUAGGGGGCAAGCGUUAUCCGGAAUUACUGGGUGUAAAGGGUUCGUAGGUGGUAAUAUAAGUCAGAAGUUAAAGACCUUGGCUCAACCAAGGGAGUGCUUUUGAAACUGUAUAACUAGAGUGCAGGAGAGGUAAGCGGAAUUCCUAGUGUAGUGGUGAAAUGCGUAGAUAUUAGGAGGAACACCGAUGGCGAAGGCAGCUUACUGGACUGUGACUGACACUGAGGAACGAAAGCGUGGGUAGCAAACAGG